rnacentral:rRNA from 1 species
UACGGAGGGUGCAAGCGUUAUCCGGAUUUACUGGGUUUAAAGGGUGCGUAGGUGGGCAGGUAAGUCAGUGGUGAAAUCUCCGAGCUUAACUCGGAAACUGCCGUUGAUACUAUUUGUCUUGAAUAUUGUGGAGGUAAGCGGAAUAUGUCAUGUAGCGGUGAAAUGCUUAGAUAUGACAUAGAACACCAAUUGCGAAGGCAGCUUACUACACAACCAUUGACGCUGAGGCACGAAAGCGUGGGGAUCAAACAGG